GGGCGGUUAGCUCAGCCGGGAGAGCGCCUGCUUUACACGCAGGAUGUCGGGGGUUCGAUCCCCUCACCGCCUACCA
rnacentral:tRNA from 1 species